GUGUUCACUUCAGCAUCACAUAUGCUAAAAUUGGAACCAUACGGAAAAGAUUAUCAUGGCCCCUGUGCAAGGGUGACACAAAUUCAUGAAGUGUGCCAUAUUUUU
rnacentral:snRNA from 1 species